GUGGCAGCCGCCGCGGUAAUACGUAGGGUGCGAGCGUUAAUCGGAAUUACUGGGCGUAAAGCGUGCGCAGGCGGUUUUGUAAGACAGAUGUGAAAUCCCCGGGCUUAACCUGGGAACUGCGUUCUGAACUGGGUGACUAGAGUGUGUCAGAGGGAGGUAGAAUUCCACGUGUAGCAGUGAAAUGCGUAGAGAUGUGGAGGAAUACCGAUGGCGAAGGCAGCCUCCUGGGAUAACACUGACGUUCAUGCUCGAAAGCGUGGGUAGCAAACAGGAUUAGAUACCCUGGUAGUCCACGCCCUAA
rnacentral:rRNA from 1 species